UGUGCUAUGAAGGCUGUUCACAAAUCUCCUGUGUCCAUCUUUACAGUUAGUUGGCGGGCAUGUGCCGAGAGGGCACUGCUACCAGCGGCCACUGACACUAGCAAUGUCUGAGUGAUACUGACGGGGUAGCCUUCCACUUGCUCCACCUUCCAGGAAAGAGUGCCUGUAUCAUAGAAGAAUCCAUGUUAUAAAAAAAAUUAGAAGCAGUCUUGAGUAAUCGGAACUCUUCCGCCAGACUGUUCAAUGUCUUUCUGGCACUGCUGCUUCUAUGUCUUCCUCCUCAUCUGGCACUGGUUCAGAAGCACUCAUCUCCAUCAGGUCAUCUCUGUUCAUUCCUCUGGAUUGAAAGAAGAAUUCCCAGACACAAUCAGACCUACAGUUCACGUGGCUCAACCCAGCAAACUAUCACAGAAAGGGAUACAAAAGAAGUAUUUGCAAAAACUAUAAAACUGUACUCUCUGGCAUCAGAAACAAAGUAUGAAGGUAAACUGCCCAAGGAUCCCCCAACCUUCCUUUAAAGAUAGUGUGGAAGAAGAGAAAGACAAUGGAUUCUGAAGCCAAAGAGACUUAGGUUCAGAUCCCAACUGUGCCAUUACUAGCUAUGGGCACAGAGGGUUGACAAUACUAUAUCUUGCAGAACUGUUGUGAGCAUUCACUAUAACUACAGAUAUAAAGCGCUGGGCUUACCAAAGAGGCUAAUUGGCAGCUAUGGUUACUAAUAAUGCACGUUGAUAGGUCAUCUGUGAAAGUUGCUAAAUGAAUCCUCAACAUGCUUACAAUAAAUUAAAUCUCAUGAAGUUACUUAAUGGGGGAAUCUUGUUAAAUCCCAUCUGAGUAUUAGAAAAUAUCCUACAUGAAAGAAGCAGAUUACCAAAUUUCAACACACCAUAAACAGAUAAAACUUUUCAUUAAAUGAUAUUGAAGAUAAUUUAAAUUGUCCUGUUUUGAUGUGAUCUUAGAAAACCCUAGACCAUCAUUUAUCUCAGUUCUAAAGAUAUGUUUUCAAAAAUUCUAUAACAAAGACUCUUCAGCUCAAAUGUUCCCCAACUUUCUCUUAAAGGACCAGAUGUUAAAUAUUUUGGGUUUUGUGGGCCAUAUUGUCACUGUUGAAGUUAUUUAAUUUUGCUAUUGUAGCUGGAAGAAGGCCUUAUACAAUAUGUAAACAAAUGAAUAUGGCAGUGUUCCAAUAAAACUUUAUUUACAAAAUCAGGCAGUGGGCCUGCAGACCACAGUUUGCUGAUUCCUGCUGUAGUUUAUAAAAUCUUAAAUUAAGUCCCUCUGGCUUUAUACUUUCAUGUUUUCUUCCUUCUUGGUGUAAUUGGAAUAAGAAAUACCUAUAAUUUAAUAUGCUUCUUCAAAUAAGAAAUAAACAUAGAUGAAAACAAACCCAGAAUAUCAUUGAAUAAUAUUCAAUCCCUUGCUUUUUAACCUUUUGUGCCUGGACAUGUUAAAAUACUUGUGCUUUUUAGCUUCCCAGUCAGCUAUCCUCAUCUAACCAACAAGACUAAAUAUAUUCUUUAAUGCAUUGAUUAUGAAAAGUUUAUUCAUCUGAGUGUUCAUUUAGCCAAGAAUUUUCUAACUCAGAUGUAGGAGAGGUUAAGUGAACACUAACUCAGACAUAGGAGAAACAGGAAAAAAAACAAUGUCCUGAAAUUUAAUAUACACAAUUGCUCUUUCAGUGCAAAAAACAAAAAUGCUCAGCAUUUAAGGUUAAUAAUUUAUGGGACCAUGGGCAGUACACUGAAUUUUUGAUACAAAGUACCUAAUAAAAGCCAUAGACUCUUUAUUAACUGACACAUGCCUAGAAAUUACUGACUAAAUCUGAUGUUCUGUAGCAUUAAAAUAAGCCAACUAGCAUCAAACGUGGACCAUGUCUUGAUUUGACAAAGACACAAAUGUACAGAACCAUUUUAAUUUUCUGACACUUUGGGCUAGCUGUGCCCCAGCAGUAUGAGUGCUGUUAAGAAGAAUCAUGCCCAGAGCCUCUUUUCUUUAUACCAGUACAUAAUAGGAUAUGGCUAAUCAGUUUGACCAAAAUCCAUGACUGUGAUUGUUCAGAAGACAUCUCAGUUCUGUCUCAGUUCAGGUAAAACCCAAACGAUUAGUUAAUGAAUAAAUUAACAUGUUGGAAAAAAAAAAAACAUAUAUUCUGUGAGAACAGACUUCGGUAUGAGAAGGCUGAGUCAAAAACAGCCAGAGAUAUUUCAGAUGCUGUUACUUACUUUUAAGUGCCAGAAAUAAAGAUAACAGAUUCAAAAACAAUCAUGUUAAAUACAGACUUGUUGCUGACCUUAAGGGAGCUGUGACUACAAAAAUUCCUAUGAAUCAAUAUAUCAAUUGGGUUUUAUUGCUAAAACUGUUAGCUGUUAUACAUUUUUUGCAAGUAUUUUCUCUAUUUCUGCUAUCCUGUGUUUACUAGCUGCAUUAAAUAAAUAAGAAAUGAGAUGACAUUUUUCUUAGUAGCAAGAGCAAGCUAUGAGACUUGAAUAAAUGCUCAGUGAAAGCA